CUGAAGUUAAUGAGUUACAAUGUCAACUCUUAAACAGAUAAAUACAUGUGUAACUAGAACGAAUAUAGUUCUGGGCUGAUCCUUACAUAGAUGAGAUACUGUUGUGUUUAGCAACAUCUAAAUAUAAAUAAAGGUAAAAUAUAAGUACCCAUACGAGAUUUUUCCAUUGUGGCAGUCACUUUGUAAAGAGAAGCACACAGAACAUAUACUUACUCUGUCUCCUUUAGGACCUGCGGGGCCAUGGGGACCAACUGAGCCAUCUAUACCCUGCAAAAGGAAACAAAGAGGUGUGUGAGCAUGGCUGGCAGAGCCCCUGGGAAGGACAUGGACUCGGUAACGAAGAGUGACACAGAAAGACAAGGGACUCACCCGGGGUCCUGGCUUUCCGUCUAAGCCAGAUGCUCCCUGUGUGGUUAGGUGGAAGCAUGGAUGAUGGGUACAACACCAAUGACAAGAACAUGAGAUUAUUAGACCUCUCCAUUUUAACUGCAGAAGGGCAACCAAAGGAAGAAUAACUGAGGAGACGGAGGAAAGGGAAGAUUCCUUUUCCAACGCAAACACCAUGCAACACUUAAAUAACAGCAUGACUAAUGUAAUGGGGGUGAUGGCAUCCUUAUGACACUGAAGACUCUCAACUGACACAUAACAAAAAAACCAAACCUGACAGCACUGGUGUUACAGGAUGAUACUUCGGACAAUAGCACAGAUUUGGGACAAAACGAAACAAGACUUAUGCUCUGCUCUAACA
rnacentral:lncRNA from 1 species